UAUAUUCUCUGUUGAACCACGGAUUACAACUGUGGAAAUUAGACCAUCUUCUUUCUCAUGCUUAAAUAUUAUCACUUGUGUGUCUCCAACCUCUGACAAGUAAACACUAUUGCAGUAUCCCAAUUCUUCUGGAAUGGG